rnacentral:rRNA from 1 species
AUGAGACUAUUGUUGCGGCGGCAGAUGGCCGUGGAUGGCGACGUUGCGGUGGCCGCCAGCCUUUUUCGUGCAGUGGCGGCGACCAUGGAUGGGGAGAGUGGAUGGCCGUGGUUGCGGCGGCAGAUGGCCGUGGAUGGCGACGUUGCGGUGGCCGCCAGCCUUUUUCGUGCAGUGGCGGCGACCAUGGAUGGGGAGAGUGGAGGAUGGGGGGAUCUGGAAGAGGCUAACCGAGAUCCACUUCCUUCAAGUGGAAUAGAAGAGUGCGUCUCGUGGGUGGACGGAAGGAAACACAAGAAAGAGGGGGAGGUUUCCUUGCCGUUGGAUCUCAGGGGUAUAGACGGCAUGGAUCUGCGAUCCGUGGGACGCUUAGAUCAACCAAUCACAGCGCAGCUUUGGCCUCACGCUGGAUUGCCACUUUGGCUGCAAACCUAA